GAUGAACGCUGGCGGCGUGCCUAAUACAUGCAGGUCGAGCGAACGGACGAGAAGCUUGCUUCUCUGAUGUUAGCGGCGGACGGGUGAGUAACACGUGGAUAACCUACCUAUAAGACUGGGAUAACUUCAGGAAACCGUAGCUAAUACCGGAUAAUAUUUUGAACCGCAUGGUUCAAAAGUGAAAGACGGUCUUGCUGUCACUUAUAGAUGGAUCCGCGCUGCAUUAGCUAGUUGGUAAGGUAACGGCUUACCAAGGCAACGAUGCAUAGCCGACCUGAGAGGGUGAUCGGCCACACUGGAACUGAGACACGGUCCAGACUCCUACGGGAGGCAGCAGUAGGGAAUCUUCCGCAAUGGGCGAAAGCCUGACGGAGCGACGCCGCGUGAGUGAUGAAGGUCUUCGGAUCGUAAAACUCUGUUAUUAGGGAAGAACAUAUGUGUAAGUAACUGUGCACAUCUUGACGGUACCUAAUCAGAAAGCCACGGCUAACUACGUG
rnacentral:rRNA from 1 species